ACAUACAACGACUCUCGGCAACGGAUAUCUCGGCUCUCGCAUCGAUGAAGAACGUAGCGAAAUGCGAUACUUGGUGUGAAUUGCAGAAUCCCGUGAACCAUCGAGUCUUUGAACGCAAGUUGCGCCCGAAGCCAUCAGGCCGAGGGCACGCCUGCCUGGGUGUCACAC
rnacentral:rRNA from 1 species